GGGAAUAUUGCACAAUGGGCGAAAGCCUGAUGCAGCAACGCCGCGUGAGUGAUGAAGGUCUUCGGAUUGUAAAGCUCUGUCUUUUGGGACGAUAAUGACGGUACCAAAGGAGGAAGCCACGGCUAACUACGUGCCAGCAGCCGCGGUAAUACGUAGGUGGCGAGCGUUGUCCGGAUUUACUGGGCGUAAAGGGUGCGUAGGCGGAUGUUUAAGUGAGAUGUGAAAUACCCGGGCUUAACUUGGGUGCUGCAUUUCAAACUGGAUAUCUAGAGUGCAGGAGAGGAGAAUGGAAUUCCUAGUGUAGCGGUGAAAUGCGUAGAGAUUAGGAAGAACACCAGUGGCGAAGGCGAUUCUCUGGACUGUAACUGACGCUGAGGCACGAAAGCGUGGGUAGCAAACAGGAUUAGAUACCCUGGUAGUCCACGCCGUAAACGAUGAGUACUAGGUGUAGGAGGUAUCGACCCCUUCUGUGCCGCAGUAAACACAUUAAGUACUCCGCCUGGGGAAGUACGAUCGCAAGAUUAAAACUCUAAAGUGAAUUGAC
rnacentral:rRNA from 1 species